GGGGAUGUGGCUCAGCAGUAGAGUGCUUGCCUAACAUGCAUGAGGCCCUGGGUUCAACCCCCAGCACCACAA
rnacentral:tRNA from 1 species